GAUGAACGCUGGCGGCGUGCCUAAUACAUGCAAGUCGAGCGAACAGACGAGGAGCUUGCUCCUUUGACGUUAGCGGCGGACGGGUGAGUAACACGUAGGUAACCUACCUAUAAGACUGGGAUAACUUCGGGAAACCGGAGCUAAUACCGGAUAAUAUUUCGAACCGCAUGGUUCGAUAGUGAAAGAUGGCUUUGCUAUCACUUAUAGAUGGACCUGCGCCGUAUUAGCUAGUUGGUAAGGUAACGGCUUACCAAGGCAACGAUACGUAGCCGACCUGAGAGGGUGCUCGGCCACACUGGAACUGAGACACGGUCCAGACUCCUACGGGAGGCAGCAGUAGGGAAUCUUCCGCAAUGGGCGAAAGCCUGACGGAGCAACGCCGCGUGAGUGAUGAAGGUCUUCGGAUCGUAAAACUCUGUUAUUAGGGAAGAACAAACGUGUAAGUAACUGUGCACGUCUUGACGGUACCUAAUCAGAAAGCCACGGCUAACUACGU
rnacentral:rRNA from 1 species